UGGAAUGAUGGGAAUUUAAACCUCUUCCAGAGUAUCAAUUGGAGGGCAAGUCUGGUGCCAGCAGCCGCGGUAAUUCCAGCUCCAAUAGCGUAUAUUAAAAUUGUUGCAGUUAAAAAGCUCGUAGUUGAAUUUCUGCUGCAUUGCUUGUGUCCCUCUGGGGUCUGUGCAUGUGGCUUUUUUCGGACGGAGUUUCUUUGUCUGAAUGUUUACUUUGAGAAAAUUAGAGUGCUCAAAGCAGGCUUUCGCCUUGAAUAGUUUAGCAUGGAAUAAUAAAGUAGGACUUUGGUUCUAUUUUGUUGGUUUUAGGUACCAAAGUAAUGGUUAAUAGGAACAGUUGGGGGCAUUCGUAUUUAACUGUCAGAGGUGAAAUUCUUAGAUUUGUUAAAGACGAACUACUGCGAAAGCAUUUGCCAAGGAUGUUUUCAUUAAUCAAGAACGAAAGUUAGGGGAUCGAAGACGAUCAGAUACCGUCGUAGUCCU
rnacentral:rRNA from 1 species